rnacentral:rRNA from 2 species
UACAGAGGUCCCAAGCGUUGUUCGGAUUCACUGGGCGUAAAGGGUGCGUAGGUGGCAUGGUAAGUUUGAUGUGAAAGCUCAGGGCUCAACCCUGAAAUGGCAUUGAAUACUACUGUGCUGGAGGUUUGGAGGGGGGACUGGAAUUCUUGGUGUAGCAGUGAAAUGCGUAGAUAUCAAGAGGAACACCAGUGGCGAAGGCGAGUCCCUGGACAACACCUGACACUGAGGCACGAAAGCCGGGGGAGCAAACAGG